rnacentral:rRNA from 1 species
CUGUCCAGAUUAGCCAUGCAUGUCUCAGUAUAAGCUUCUAUACGGCGAAACUGCGAAAGGGCUCAUUAAAACAGUUAUAGUUUAUUUGGUGGUCAGCAAUUACAUGGAUAACCGUGGUAAUUCUAGAGCUAAUACAUGCGCCCAAACCCGACUUCGUGGAAGGGUUGUGUUUAUUAGAUACAGAACCAACCCAGGCUCCGCCUGGCCUUGAGGUGAUUCAUAAUAACCGAACGAAUCGCAUGGCUAUGCCGGCGAUAGACCAUUCAAGUUUCUGACCUAUCAGCUAUCGUCGGUAGGGUAUUGGCCUACCGUGGCAAUGACGGGUAACGGAGAAUUAGGGUUCGAUUCCGGAGAGGGAGCCUGAGAAACGGCUACCACAUCUAAGGAAGGCAGCAGGCGCGCAAAUUACCCAAUCCUGACGCAGGGAGGUAGUGACAAGAAAUAACAAUACAGGGCAUACAUGUCUUGUAAUUGGAAUGAGUAAACUUUAAAUCACUUUA